rnacentral:lncRNA from 1 species
AUUUUCAGUACAUCCUUAUCUGUUUAUUGUAGCUACUGUUUUAUUUACCUGCAUCUAUACUUGUUAGCUCCUUACUUAUCAGCAUCUUCACCUACCAGCUCUUAUAUCUAUCUAGUUCUCCGUGACUAGUGAGUACCCCUCGCCUUCUUCGGCUUGCGGUACCCACUGGGAGGGGAGACAUGUUUACAUGUUCUCACCCCCCGCCCCCUUUACAGGUGACGUAGCCGGUCCGAGUGAGACAGCUGGUGAGGUACGGGUCUAGCAUACGAUAGAGCUUUCCGCCCCGUGGUUUGGUUUAUCUACCCUUACUCUUCAUGAUUUAAUAAAUAACCAGCUUAGACAUAUUAUGGUUCAGUUUUUAUUUUACUAUUCGGAUAUCUGAGUUUUCAGUUGGUUUUGGAAGGCAAUAAAGGAAUUUGUGUUUUCUUGAAAUGGAAAUGGUUUUCUACCCCUCGUGGUAGCGUUUUGAAAAGUUAAAAGUUCCUGUGUAGGGAACAGUUUUCAAAAGGUUUUCUGUGGAUUUUGUAUCUUAGUAUUUCAAAACCUGUUUCUGUGGUUGGAAAUAUUUUAACCGAUAGAUGUGGAUUUAUAUUCAAAUAGCGAAUGUAUAUUUGUGAAUAUGUGGUGAAUGGUGUAUGAAUGUAUAUCUGCGGUUGUUUGUAUAUUCAUCUGGUUGUGGUUAUUGUAUGAUUGAACUCUUGUACUUGUGCGACGCCGUGCAAAUACAGGGGAGACUCUGUCCGUGUGAACAGUGAAACUCCUGUAUUU